rfam:Musa acuminata subsp. malaccensis Doubled-haploid Pahang (DH-Pahang) genomic chromosome, chr1
AGAGUGGAAUGCAGCCAAGGAUGACUUGCCGGUGUCUUCUCUUCGAAGGGAGAGUGGUUAGUUUUGGUGUUGCCGGCAAGUUUGUCCUUGGCUACGUUUGGCUCUCU